rnacentral:lncRNA from 1 species
AAAGCACCGCCUCACCGCCUCCAGCUGGAGCCAUGCUGUGAAAUCUCUCUCCCUGGCAAAUGUGCGUGGAACACACACACACACAAACAUGCACGCAUGCGCUCACGCACCCAGCAUUAGAGUCAAACUUGAAUGUCAAACUCUUCUUUCCCCUUCUAGUUCAUGGCAGGAAGGGAAAGCUUACCUGAGAUCUCAGUGACUCUCCAGCUAUUUUGGGUAAUUUCUGAUUUGAGUUGGGAUUGGUUUUUAAACACAGGCCCUAAUCUGGGGUGAAGCCAGUGAAGCAGCGCUGGCCAGGAGAGACGUCAGUCUUGCUAAAUCCUGAAGGUGGGUUCCUGUGAAAACCAUGCUUUCAGGAUUCACUGUGACUGUCAGGCCAGCCCAGUGAGUGCCCCCCAUCCAACCCAUGGUUGCGGUCACAGUGAAGGGAUUGCCCACGCAGGGGCGCACGUGUUCUCUAGGGCAGGGCCCUCUGACAGGAGAAAAUGAGACCCUUCCUCUUCCCACCUCCCAACUUCCCAGAGAAACGCCAGUCCUCCAAGGUACAAUGGCAGCUCAGGAUCCAGUGGCACAUGUGUAUUUUUGCCUAUGUUCCCCUGUCCCCAUCCCCCAAUCCAGUCUCAGUCACACUGCCAUGAUACAUCACACCAUCAUCCUUCAUCUCAGGCCAAAGGGCUCAGCGCCCCAGACGACAGGGACUGCUUCCCUGAAGCAGGGAUGUGGUUCUCCCAUCAUUUCAGGAACAGUGACAUUCCCUCAGAUGCUGUGGCCUCUCUCACUGUCUUGGGGGUCUCCAGUUUGCACACCACUGGUAGCUCACUGUAGCCUACAAUUUCCUCAUAAGGGACAGGAGGAAGAAGAAAAAAGACUAAGGAAAGAGGGUCAGAGAUAUGGGAGAAAACCAAGAGCACAGGAUGCCACAAAGCCAAGGGAAACAAGGGUUUCAAGAAGGAAUAAGUGCCAAGUGCCACUGAGUGAUUAAGACAAGGACUGAAGAAAACACCCACAAGAUUUAGCAAAGGGAAAUAUCAGUGACCUUGGCAGAAGCAGCCGCAGGGGAGUGUGAGCUUCUUUGGAACUGGUGCUGCCUGGCUAAUUUUCAUGGGUCACACAUUAGGGAUACAAGUUAGGAUACAGAUUCAAGCCACUCUAACAGAGGUUCAAAAUAAUACUGGCUUCCGUUGGUAAAAGUUCAUGUCUCUCUCUUAAGAGUGAGUGCAAGCAUAAUCUAUGUAGUAUCAGACACUUCUAUCUGUACCUAUCACUUGUGUUCCCUUGCCACUGGCCAGAACUUUGUCACAUGACCUAAUAUAGCUGCAAGAUAAUCAGGAAAAGUGGCCAUGAACCAAGCAAGGCUGGUACUCCCAAGAAGAGUGUUGUUCAUCUCAUGUUCAGGCCACUGAGGGGACAUUAUGCAGCUGCAGUGGGACCUCUGAGGGGUGACAAUGAGGGUAGUAUGAUAGCUA